rnacentral:rRNA from 1 species
AUUGAACGCUGGCGGCAGGCCUAACACAUGCAAGUCGAACGAGUGGCGGACGGGUGAGUAAUGUAUGGGAAACUGCCCGAUGGAGGGGGAUAACUACUGGAAACGGUGGCUAAUACCGCAUACCAUCAGAUGUGCCCAGAUGGGAUUAGCUAGUGGGUGGGGUAACGGCUCACCAAGGCGACGAUCCGUAGCUGGUCUGAGAGGAUGACCGGCCACACGGGAACGGAGACACGGUCCAGACUCCUACGGGAGGCAGCAGUGGGGAAUAUUUCACAAUGGGGGCAAGCCUGAUGCAGCCAUGCCGCGUGUAUGAAGAAGGCCUUCGGGUUGUAAAGUACUUUCUGCGGGGAGGCGUUACCCGCAGAAGAAGCACCGGCUAACUCCGUGCCAGCAGCCGCGGUAAUUC